UUAGUCAAAUACUGACGCUACUUCUGCAUAUUUCUCAUGAAGCACAAGAAUCCAACUGACUGCAGUUUCUGCUCACACUGCUGAAAUCACGUCUCACUGUUUAAGUUGUACUGUGAGUAGUUAGAAAUAAUAAAUCAACGGGAGACACUGUGGUGCAGUGUGUGGUAAAGUCAAUUGCUAUGUACCAAUGAACACAAUACUUUUCUGCAGCAUCAUGUUUUACCACGUUAACUUCAUCAUUACACCUCAUUAUAUUGGACCGCCUGCACCCAGCACUUUUGUGAAUAAGAAUGGUCAAAAGACGUUUCACACGCGCCCUUUUUGUGACGCGCUGAGAGCCUGAAACAGAACGCCUGCAGACAAAGUUCAUAAUCAGCUCAUGCUAUCAGAUAUCUUUAUCUGGAGCUUCUGGCUUUGUUAAACCAGCUUACUUUAAAGAAAGCCUGGAUAUGUUGAACUUGCUUCAGGGCAAACAACAACUAACCCAAAUACUGAUCAAUAACUUAAACAACAGCCCAAUACCGCCACCUAGUGUCUAAAGUGAGUUUUGUCUAAACUAAAUUUGUUGAUGUGUUUGCACUUCAGAAAUAAAAGUUUCCAUGGCUAACAAAAACCAGUAUAAACCGGUUCAGCUCAUCUGUCUGUCAGACAUGAAGAGAGAGGACACUUGGCUUCCAUGUACGAGGAACACAAGUCCCAGAUUGUGUCACUCUUUCAGAAGAUGCCUUCAGAUUCAGAUCCAUCAACAACCCCUGACAACAUGGAGGACUCGUCCCCUGAGCGUUUCCUGUCCUCUCUCGAUGGUGUUCUUCUCUUCAGUUAUUAACUCUUGAAAACAGUAGCACAAAAUGCCAGACUGUUUGACAAGUCUGUGAUUGAAUAAAUGGAAAUGGAAUCUCA